rnacentral:tRNA from 1 species
CGCCCUGUCGCUCAACAGGGUAGAGCAACGGUGUCCUGAACCGCAGGUCAAGCACUCGGAUCCCUUCCGGGAGACCA